rnacentral:tRNA from 1 species
GGGCGAGUCGGUUAAUGGUAAACCACAGCUCUCCAAAAGCUGAACUGGGGGUUCGAUUCCCUCCUCGCCUG